CCUCUUGAGCCAACACCCACCCAAGCCGUUCCCCUCGCUCCGUGACCCCACCCUUCUCACCAGGCAGCCUUCCUGCCCUCACUCACAGGGAUUCCUAGCUCCACCUCUCGCCUGUGGCCCCGCCCCUUAUCCCAGGCCCCACUCCCGCCCCGCCCCUCUCAACCUUCUGUUCUCCGAGCCCCGAGUGCCCGCUGCUGUAGGAUCUGCUCAAGGUCUGCGCGCACCAUCCUCUCCAGAGCCGCCAGCAAUGCGUCUUUUUCUGGCUGGAAGGCACGCAGCCCCGAGGAUGCCCCGGCCAGGACGGCUGCGUGCACGGCGUCGAGGAACUGCAGAGUUCGAAGGCAGCUUGGGUGAGCGCGUGGGUCCUAGGGCGGUCCCCUCUCUCUCUCUCUCCCUCUCCAUGCCACCCCACGCUCCGCACCUCCGCGCAGGCCCGAGCUCGGGCGCGUCCCGCACCGCGCAGCCCUCGGAGCGCCUGUGCUCGCAGCGCUGGCAACAGCUCCCGCAUCAGUUCAGCGCUCAGUACCUGAAGGGGAGGCGUGGGGCUAUUGGGCCGCAGGCGGCGGAACACCGAACGCGCCUGGGGUCUGCGGGACACAGCUCACCUCUGCGUCGGAGCCCAGUGUCGCGUCGUCUCCACCAGCGUAGCCCCGGCGUUGUCGAUAGAGCAGCACGGCGUCCAGGAAGGCGCAGGCUGCGGGCGCCCGGCUGCGCUGCAGGACUGAAGGCGCAAUCAAGAGCGUGCUGCGCUCAGGGAGCCCCGCACCUUCGCCGCCCAUCAAACUCCCGCCCCCUCCCACCUGCACCCCGCUGCUCCUGCGACGCACCGGUGGCUCUCAGACGAAUGGCACCCUGCAAGCCGAGCCUCCAGGCGCGCUGCGCCCCCCGAGAGUGAGCGCAGAAGCAGAGGACAGCAGCCUGAAAGAGCCCGGUGUAGGGUGUCCUGUCAUCGGAUUGUGACUUACAGGCCGGUCUGGAAGCCUGGAAAACCUUGUCUCAAAAACUACCCACAGAAGAUCUAAUACGAGUGGACCCUGCAAGAUUGACUGUUCUCUACAUCUUGUUGGAGCAGAUACCUGAGGUCAGAGCAGAAGUUCCAGGCAGUCAUGAACACCAGGCAGUUGCGAGUGCCAGCGUCAAAACUCAAGUCCAUCCACCGAGCCAUCUUUUCAGUCACCCUCCCCUUUAAUUUAAUUUUGUUUUUGUUGGUUUUGUUUGGUUUUUUUGGGAUAGAGUUUCUCUGUAUAGCCCUGGCUGUCCUGAAACUCACUCUGUGGAU